CCUACGGGAGGCAGCAGUGAGGAAUAUUGGUCAAUGGGCGCGAGCCUGAACCAGCCAAGUCGCAUGAAGGAUGACUGCCCUACGUGUUGUAAACUUCUUUUAUAAAGGAAUAAAGUGAGGCACGUGUGCCUUUUUGUCUGUACUUUAUCAUUCAGGCUCGGCCAACUACGUGCCAGCAGCCGCGGUAAUACGGAGGAUCCGAGCGUUAUCCGGAUGUAUUGGGUUUAAAGGGAGCGUAGAUGGGUUGUUAAGUCAGGUGUGAAAGUUUGCGGCUCAACCGUAAAAUUGCAAUUGAUACUGGCAGCCUUGAGUACAGUUGAGGUAGGCGGAAUUCGUGGUGUAGCGGUGAAAUGCGUAGAUAGCACGAAGAACUCCGAUGGCGAAGGCAGCCUACUAAACUGCCACUGACAUUGAGGCUCGAAAGUGUGGGUAGCAAACAGGAUUAGAUACCCUAGUAGUC
rnacentral:rRNA from 1 species